UACAGAGGGGGCAAGCGUUGUUCGGAAUUACUGGGCGUAAAGGGCGCGUAGGCGGCCUGUUAAGUCGAACGUGAAAUCCCCGGGCUCAACCCGGGAACUGCGUCCGAUACUGGCAGGCUUGAAUCCGGGAGAGGGAUGUGGAAUUCCAGGCGUAGCGGUGAAAUGCGUAGAUAUCUGGAGGAACACCGGUGGCGAAGGCGGCAUCCUGGACCGGUAUUGACGCUGAGGCGCGAAAGCCAGGGGAGCAAACGGG
rnacentral:rRNA from 1 species